rnacentral:rRNA from 1 species
CCGACGGUGAGGGGUGAAAGCUGGGGGCACGAACCGGAUUAGAUACCCGGGUAGUCCCAGCCGUAAACGAUGCUCGCUAGGUGUCAGGCAUGGCGCGACCGUGUCUGGUGCCGCAGGGAAGCCGUGAAGCGAGCCACCUGGGAAGUACGGCCGCAAGGCUGAAACUUAAAGGAAUUGGCGGGGGAGCACAACAACGGGUGGAGCCUGCGGUUUAAUUGGACUCAACGCCGGACAACUCACCGGGGGCGACAGCAAUAUGUAGGCCAAGCUGAAGACUUUGCCUGAAUCGCUGAGAGGAGGUGCAUGGCCGUCGCCAGUUCGUACUG